ACCAGACUUAACUAGAAUCUUAUUAAAAUGCAGAUUCUGAUUCAGAAUAGUUCAGUGGGGCCUGCAAUUCUAAUAAACUGCAGGUGAUUCUGAU
rnacentral:pre_miRNA from 1 species